UUUUGGAAUAGGUUAGAUUCUGGCUCAGAGUGAGACUCUGGCGGUAGGCCUAACACAUGCACGUCGAACGGCAGCACAGGAGAGCUUGCUCUCUGGGUGGCGAGUGGCGGACGGGUGAGGAAUACAUCGGAAUCUACUUUUUCGUGGGGGAUAACGUAGCGAAACUUACGCUAAUACCGCAUACGACCUACGGGUGAAAGCAGGGGAUCUUCGGACCUUGCGCGAUUGAAUGAGCCGAUGUCGGAUUAGCUAGUUGGCGGGGUAAAGGCUCACCAAGGCGACGAUCCGUAGCUGGUCUGAGAGGAUGAUCAGCCACACUGGAACUGAGACACGGUCCAGACUCCUACGGGAGGCAGCAGUGGGGAAUAUUGGACAAUGGGCGCAAGCCUGAUCCAGCCAUACCGCGUGGGUGAAGAAGGCCUUCGGGUUGUAAAGCCCUUUUGUUGGGAAAGAAAUCCAGCUGGCUAAUACCCGGUUGGGAUGACGGUACCCAAAGAAUAAGCACCGGCUAACUUCGUGCCAGCAGCCGCGGUAAUACGAAGGGUGCAAGCGUUACUCGGAAUUACUGGGCGUAAAGCGUGCGUAGGUGGUUGUUUAAGUCCGUUGUGAAAGCCCUGGGCUCAACCUGGGAACUGCAGUGGAUACUGGGCGAGCUAGAGUGUGGUAGAGGGUAGCGGAAUUCCUGGUGUAGCAGUGAAAUGCGUAGAGAUCAGGAGGAACAUCCCAU
rnacentral:rRNA from 1 species